rnacentral:rRNA from 1 species
AGCAGCCGCGGUAAUUCCAGCUCCAAUAGCGUAUAUUAAAGUUGUUGCAGUUAAAAAGCUCGUAGUUGAAUUUCGGGAUCAAUAUAUCGGUCGUGCCUCUGGUACGUACUGGUAUCAUUGAUUUCUCCCUUCUGACGAACCAUGAUUUCAUUUAUUUGGUGUCAUGGGGAGUUAGGACUGUUACUUUGAAAAAAUUAGAGUGUUUAAAGCAGGCUAACGCUUGAAUACAUUAGCAUGGAAUAAUGAAAUAGGACGUUUGAUCCUAUUUUGUUGGUUUCUAGGAUUGACGUAAUGAUUAAUAGGGAUAGUUGGGGGCAUUAGUAUUCAAUUGUCAGAGGUGAAAUUCUUGGAUUUAUUGAAGACUAACUACUGCGAAAGCAUUUGCCAAGGAUGUUUUCAUUAAUCAAGAACGAAAGUUAGGGGAUCGAAGACGAUCAGAUACCGUCGUAGUCUUAACCAUAAACUAUGCCGACUAGGGAUCGGAUGAUGUUAAUUUUUUAAUGACUCA